rnacentral:misc_RNA from 1 species
GAGAAGAACGCAGUGAAAUGCGAUAAGUAGUGUGAAUUGCAGAAUUCAGUGAAUCAUCGAAUCUUUGAACGCACAUUGCGCCCUUUGGUAUUCCAAAGGGCAUGCCUGUUCGAGCGUCAUUUGUACCCUCAAGCUUUGCUUGGUGUUGGGCGUCUUGUCUCUAGCUUUGCUGGAGACUCGCCUUAAAGUAAUUGGCAGCCGGCCUACUGGUUUCGGAGCGCAGCACAAGUCGCACUCUCUAUCAGCAAAGGUCUAGCAUCCAUUAAGCCUUUUUUUCAACUUUUGACCUCGGAUCAGGUAGGGAUACCCGCUGAACUUAAGCAUAUCAAUAAGCGGAGGA